rnacentral:lncRNA from 1 species
GCUGUUUUCACCGUGAUGAAUUUCUGAUUCUUGUUUCUCCAGUCUCCUAUUCAGAUGACUCAGUGGCGAAGCUGCAGUAUUACACUGCAGACAGCGAGGGGGAAAACGAUCCGGGAUCAGAACAAGAGGGAGUUUCCCAGAGGGGGUCUCAGUUUGAUUACGAUAAUGUGGAGGAGCCUGCAUUGAAUGAUGUGCCCCAGACUCCAGACAGCCGAGAUGCCCCUGCCGUGCCUGGAGAUGUCCCAGGGGAUGGUUAUGAUGAUGCCAGAGAAUUGUCUGACCCUGAAGGUGACCCUGCUUUGGGGCAGAAUGAUGAGGAAGACACUGGGGCGAAUGACAGGGACAGAGAUUCACAGACAGGUUGGAGUCGGCACUCGCUAAGGGGUGAAGUUGUCUCUGGGAUGGAGAAGGAAACCCAAUCCCUGCCUCCUGGAGACACAGGUUAUGAUGAUGUGGGACAUGGUGACUCUGAGGGUUCAAUAUCAUAACAAUUUGAUAGUACAAAAUAACCCCAUGAUGAUGUAAAUGCUUCACCUCUUUCUCUCAGAAAUUAUGCCCAGAGAAAGUCUCUUCUUGGUUGAUAAACAAAGCAGGUGUUUUUAUAAGAUUUGUGUGAAGUUGCAGGAAUUAUAAGAGCGAGUGGGAAAAGGUUCAUAAGCUUUCUUUGUAUAAUUUUCCAUUGUUUGGAAAGAGUGGAACUUUCCUGCUUUUUUAUGUCUAUAAUUUCUUCAGCUUGACUUUGUGCCUUUUUCAUAUUAAAUCCUUUCUGAAAGUCUUCCCCUUAGUGGAUAUUUUUCUUGCCAGAUGAAUUGUGCAGUUUCCAGGGCUCACC